rnacentral:lncRNA from 1 species
GGGCCAGGGGGUCUCCUUAUAUAGUCCUCCUCCUCUAUGUGUUUUUGGGUCGGUAGGCGAGGUGGUACUAUGUUUUCCUUGAUCCAAUAGGUCGGUGGAACAUCCCGUGCGAAGAGAGUCCUAAAUGCAAUCCAGCAGGGGGCGGGCGCCCAGGUCACCAGGGCAGGCGCCCUGGGCCUGGCCCCUUUCGGCCUCUACUUUCUUCCCGUGGCUUUUGGAGUCUUCUAGAUGGUAGAAAAUCACGCAGUGCGUUGAUAUCUCUAUGUAAUCCCGACAUGUGGGCCUUUCUUCCUUAUUUCCUGAUAACCCCCUGCAGAAACAGAUAAACAACAAAACUCAUGGAAUUAUGUCAGAUCAAACCCUAAUUCUAGGUGUUGGUUGCAUAUUGGUCCUUUCUCUUGUUUAUUUGAUAAUUAAAAUUGAUACUUAAGAACCGUCAACAAAUACCCCCAUACUUAGGCUUUUACUCGUCCUCGAGAGAAGGAUGGUUAAGAACAAUAUUUGGGGUAAAACAUUUUAAAGCAUUCUUUUUAUAAUUGCAGGGUGUUAAAAAUCCACUGUGUACCAUAGUCAGGGAAGUAUAUGGUUAAGAGUAAAGAUCCUUUCUUCUCAAUCCUGUCACUUGGAGUUUUUGUAUAUUUUUGAAAAGAAAGUUAGCAUACCUUUUUAUCCUCAUAGGUUCUUCUCAGAUCACUCAUUAUUUUUUAUAUAUCUCACUGAGGCUGUUUUAAUUUGCAAAAAAUUCUCAAGCAUACUUACUUUGCAUUUAUUGCCUGAUCAAAAUGGGAUCCGAGGAGGGGAAUGUCAUACUCUUAGAUCAAAGACUUUGGAAAUUAAAAUCUUUGUCAACUCUUGCUGGCAUAUUGCUUAUUAGAGGGACCAUGGGCUAUCAUUUUUUUUCUCUUUUUCUUCUUUUUUUAAGUGGAUAACGAGCUACCCCUAAUUCUACUGCUGGACACUUGUCCAUUUUUUUCUGCGAGGUUGUCGAGCACUUGCUCCUUUUUAUUUCCUCGAAAUAUCUCUAUUUUUGCAUAGCCCGUGCCUCUAAUGCAAUAAUACUUCGGAAGAGUGAAUCUUUCUGAAUAAAUGUCUUGAUCUUAGGAGCAUGAUAAAUCUCUCAACAAGGGUCUAACUCAUUUUGAACAAACUCAAAACAGAGUAGAUAGCUUUUAUAAUCAUAAUUAAUAUUUUCAGUUUUAUCAGGCAUAUAAAACACUGAGGAUGGUAGCUAGAAUUUUGAAUAUUUUGAAAUAAAUUCUCUAAGCAACAAUGAUAUCAAGAAUAAGAAACUCGUACUCUACCAUCUCACAUUCCAUACUAUCUUAAGUAACACAGGGUUUUAAAAUGAUUUUAUAAUAAUUGCAAGUUUUCAGGAAAUAUCACAGAUUGAGAUUAAUCAUGAUUAGAAAUAUUUUAAUCUUUUUAUUUUGUCAUGUCGGAAACAGUAUUCUGCAAAAUCCAAAAUAUAUGUAUGUGUAAAGUAAAGUGUGCAGAGUGUGUACCUGAAUCGUGGAGUGGUGUAGUCGGAGUGUGUUUGGCAUGUUGAGGGAUCUCCCCCAUACUUGUUUUCUGCUUUCUUGCACAAAAAAUAAAGUAGAGACACACAAGACAUAAUAAUAAUAAUACUCUUUAUUAAGGCAUGUAUUAUAAAAGACUAGUAGCAAACUGACGAUAGUAGCAAACUGAUGAUAAUAGUAAACUGAUGAUAAUGGUAAACCUAAACCGAAUUUAAAGAUAGAUGACUAAGAUGCAUUGCCUCAAGGUCUAAUCUAGAUAACUUAGCGGCGCUCUAAUUCCUUGAUCUUCUUGUUGGCACUAGCAAGAUCCUGCCUAAGGCCUAGUAUAAUGGUGUUGUGGUUAGAGAGCUGCCUAGUGAGGGAAUUAAUCGAGGACUGGAGGUCUAUGAUAAUUCUGUCUAGCCUGCGAACGUCCUUAUCAAUAUCCAUUAUAGUCUUGCGACGCUUGGGAGGUGUCUCAAAAGCAUUGAGAGCGUGCUUCGGGGCUGCCUUUGGAGGGAUGAAAUGGACUUUGGCUGCUCUAAUCCCUUCAAAGUAAGGUCUUUCCUCCUCCGUAGUCUAGCGAACGCUGCUGAUCUCGCCGCUCCGGUUGGUCUUGACUCCAACGACUCUCUCAUUGGGUCUUGGUGGAAGGAUCCUUGUGCCGAUUGGCACCUUGAUAGUGGUCUUCGUCUUGGAUGAUGAUCCCUUGAGAAGUAGGGGUUGUGGUGGUGUGGUGAGAACUGGUUGAGCAUGGUA